rnacentral:rRNA from 1 species
CACGGAGGGUGCGAGCGUUGUCCGGAAUCACUGGGCGUAAAGGGCGCGUAGGCGGCGAGGAUAGUCAACGGUGAAAGCUUGGGGCUCAACCCCGAGUCGGCCGUCGAUACUUCCUUGCUUGAGCACUGUAGAGGCAGAUGGAAUUCCGGGUGUAGCGGUGGAAUGCGUAGAGAUCCGGAAGAACACCGGUGGCGAAGGCGGUCUGCUGGGCAGUAGCUGACGCUGAUGCGCGACAGCGUGGGGAGCAAACAGG